AGCCUAGAUUUUUCCCUGAAAAGAAAGAAGAAAAGAAUAUGCAGCGGCUUGUGUGCACUGCUCAGGGAAAUCCACUGGUGACCGAAUGGAAAAGAAAAAAUCUUCUCAACGAUGACAUCUGGGUCUUUGAUACAAAAGAUAACUCAUCCAAAGGAAAGUACGUUUUUUCUAACAUGGAUGACUUCAAGGAUCACACCUUGACCAUCUAUGACGUACAACCUAAAGACGCCGGCCAGUAUUAUUGCUGCAUCAAGAAACAUCAAAAGUCCCAGACCCCCCGAAGAUAUUAGUAACUAUCAGAUCUUUGAAGUCCAACCUCAACCCCCACUCCAAACCCAGCCCCCCUCCCCACUCACUACCCCACCUCCAGGUUCUGUAGUUGGCAAAGCAAGUCUCACGUUUUCCAUCAUUCUCCUCGACCUGCUGCUGAAUUGGUUGCUGUAAUGGUCACGUGACUACUCCACUAGGUCACGUGAGGCCUGAGGAUGGAAGUGUAUCCAUCAUUUGACCAAAGUAAUUCCUUGUCAAUAAGAUAAAGUGCACUCUUAGACUUAUUCCUGAAUUAUAUUGCAUGCCUUCAUUGUAAUUUAUAUAAGAUAGUU
rnacentral:lncRNA from 1 species